UACCUUUACUCGAGCUAUUUUAGCUAAGUCAUCCUUCGUCGAAUCGAAAUCUCUACACAUUUACGAAAUCGAUUUCAAACUUACGAGUUUUAAUUCACUGCACUAAUUCACCCCCACUCUUAGUUGUCACGCCCCUCAAAAUAUCCAUGAUUUUUAAAAAUUUUCAUCACAGACCAAUCCAAGAUCCAAACUAACGUUUGAGGACACUGAAAAACAUUCUAUUCAUA
rnacentral:lncRNA from 1 species